GCAGCCCCGCCUCUUCCCUUCUCCGGGUCACAGGAAGCUCCGCCGCGUUCCGGCCCCGCCCUCCCGGCGAGCCGCGCGCGGGCUGAUGGCGGAGCCGGGCCCCGAGGAGGAGGAGCUGGCGCACGCCGAGGUGCUCGAGCUGUUCCAGGAGGGGCUGGCCCGCCUCGUGCAGGACCCGCUGCUCUGCGACCUCCCCGUGCAGGUCACCGUGGAGGAAAUCAAUUCUCAGAUUGCGCUGGAGUAUGGCCAAGCCAUGACUGUGCGAGUGUGCAAGGCGGAUGAAGAAGUUAUGCCUGUAGUAGUGGUACAGAAUGCCAGUGUCCUGGACCUGAAGAAAGCUAUCCAGCGAUAUGUGCAGCUGAAGCAGGAGCGGGAAGGGGGCAUACAGCACAUUAGCUGGACCUACAUAUGGAGAACAUAUCACUUAACCUUUGCUGGAGAGAAAAUGACAGAUGACAAAAAGAAGCUGCGAGAGUACGGCAUCAGAAAUCGUGAUGAGGUCUGCUUUAUAAAGAAACUUCGGAAGUGAACUUACAGCUCCAGUUUUUCUGCCUGAAAAGGACUAACUCCAGGUUGUUACUGCAGCAGGACCAGCCUGCAGAUUCAGCAUCUUUCCAGAAGAGAAACUUGUGGCAUUUCAAAGAGCAAAUGCAGGAGGCAAUAAAAAUUCUGAUAGCAACUGAAUCACUACCCAAUCAACAUUUUGGAAGAAUUCUCUGAAGGUUCUCACCCAGCUGUGCCACCUUGCUAGAAAACCUCUGAAGUCCAGGAUAUCUAUGGUAGCAUUCUCUGAAGUGAUUCCAGUUCCACGCACAGGGCCAGAUAGAACUGCAGAGGCUCAGUGUGCAGAUGAGCCCCUAGUGUAGGGAGGAGGGUUUAGAUUUAUUACGAACUGGGGAACCUUUGGGGAAAGGAGAAGCCUAUACAAGAAGGAUGGGCUUCAACAAAACCACAAUGGAACCAGACUGCAGGUAUGUAAAAUUAAAAAGGUUGUAGAGGAGUUGUUAAACUGAGGGCUAGCCAACAGGUUCAGAGAGAGACAGCCCUUAGGGGAGUAACUGUUAACAGGGAUGUUCUAUAGCAGUGGCCCCCAAACUUUUCAGGGUCAUACCCCUUCUUUACCUCUGUUCCCCCUGAGCUGUGGGGACGGAGCCCUGGGCACAGGGCUGGCAGCUGGGUACCACUCCCCAGGGGGGUUGGCCUGGGCCCCAGCUGUGUCACCCAAGCCCCCCAGUUUGGGGACCUCUGCUCUAUAGCCUAGUAAAGAGGAGAGGACAGAAGUUCAUAAAGUACAGAUAGGAUCUAGAGAGAAACAGGACAUUAAAAGAGCUUUAGGACUGAGUAGGUCCUUUUUUAAUCGUGCCAACCUAACCAAAAAAUAGAAAUGUCCAGGGCUAGUGAUGGGACAGGCUCUGAGUUACCACAGAGAUUUCUUUCCCAAGUGUCUGGCUGGUGGGUCUUGCCCACAUGCUCAGUGUCUAACUGAUCACCAUAUUUGGGGUCAGAUUGGCAGACAUCCUGCGUUUUGUGCUGUAGGCAAGUCAAGCAGGUGGAUACAGGGCAAUUAAGGUGAAGGGAGCAAAUAGAGAUGGUUCACCAUGAGUACAGGUGAGUCUAGCAACAAGCAGCUGAUGAUACUUAUAACACUGAUUUUACAUGAAGAGCCAUCACCAGGUGGGGCAUGUAAGACUACUGUCACAAAGGCUCCAGGCUUAGCCUACAGAAUGGUGAGCCUGUACACUGCCAUAGAGAAUUCAUCAUGGCAACUACUACAAAACAGUAAAGUCGAAUCAUCCUGCUGGGACUAUGAGACCCUAAGACAUGGAACUUAAUUUUGCAGCCCCAGGGAAAGGACGUGGCCAGUAGGUGCUUGAGAUUGAAUAUGCUUAGGAUAAAGCAAACAAAUGUAGCCAUAGACUGUGCAGAAUAGUUAACAGUAGCUAAAACGCUACCUUUCCAUUUAAUCACCACCUUAGCAGUAGUAAACAAAUCU